UACGUAGGUGGCAAGCGUUGUCCGGAUUUACUGGGCGUAAAGAGCGCGCAGGCGGUCGUUCAAGUCGCGUGUGAAAGCCCCCGGCUCAACUGGGGAGGGUCACGCGAUACUGAUCGACUCGAAGGCAGGAGAGGGUAGUGGAAUUCCCGGUGUAGUGGUGAAAUGCGUAGAUAUCGGGAGGAACACCAGUGGCGAAGGCGGACUACCUGGCCUGUUCUUCGACGCUGA
rnacentral:rRNA from 1 species